GCUCCUGGAAGGUGUAGGUCACUGAGGAGCCGGCUUCAAAGAGGAGAGAAACCUCUGAAAGAGAAGAGAGAAAGAGAGAUAAGCUGGGUUUUCCGUAAUGUCAAACCACAAGUCUGGUGAGAGAAACAGAGAAUCCAGCUGAACUGUAAGAACAGCAUGGACGGUGCUCACUUGGCCUCUUUGCAUAGCCUGGUGGAGAAUAUGUUCCUCAUGGACCUGAUCCAGGCUCACAACAAGAGCAUGCCUGUGUCCUGGCUAGGAGGCAAUGACAAGAAAGACUCCGGACUUGGCGGUAGUUUUAAAGUAGAAGGAGAUGUCGGCACUGAGCUCUGCGUGGAACGUGGGGAAGUGGAGG